rnacentral:lncRNA from 1 species
UUGACUUAUGCUCAAGAGAUUGUGCUUAAGACCCUUAACUAAUAAAACAUUAUCAAUAGAGGAGGUUUCAUCCUUACUAACCGAACCAAUACCGAUUAUUUUUCCUUUGCUAUUGUCUCCAAAGACUACGUUUACUCCUUUGGCGGGUCUUAUUUGAAGAAAUUUGGAUGCAUCUCCGGUCAUGUGCUGGAGCAUCCGCUAUCAAGGUACCAAAGUACACUUGAUGCCUUCAAG